AAGUUCCGGUAAGUGGUUAACUUACUCCUUCGGAUUUGCAAUCCGAUAUGUAGAACACCUCAGAACU
rnacentral:tRNA from 1 species